AGGGUUGCUGAACAUUUUGAUAUUGGUACAUUGUAUAAGUUUCUUCUGGAUAGCUAGGCUUAUAAUCAACUGUUGGUUGUGAUGAAUAGGAAAAAAUUAGAUGAUUUUCCCAACCUAGAUUGUAGGUGUUGGCAAAAAGAUUGGGACAAGCAGUUUAGAUUUGGGUUUGGUAAGUUUGCUCAUGUGCAAACUCUUAGGAUCGAUAUGCGGCU
rnacentral:lncRNA from 1 species